GGGUUGUGAGGUUAAGCGACUAAGCGUACACGGUGGAUGCCCUGGCAGUCAGAGGCGAUGAAGGGCGUGCUAAUCUGCGAUAAGCGCCGGUAAGGUGAUAUGAACCGUUAUAACCGGCGAUACCCGAAUGGGGAAACCCAGUGUGUUUCGACACACUAUCAUUAACUGAAUCCAUAGGUUAAUGAGGCGAACCGGGGGAACUGAAACAUCUAAGUACCCCGAGGAAAAGAAAUCAACCGAGAUUCCCCCAGUAGCGGCGAGCGAACGGGGAGGAGCCCAGAGUCUGAAUCAGCAUGUGUGUUAGUGGAAGCGUCUGGAAAGGCGCGCGAUACAGGGUGACAGCCCCGUACACAAAAGCGCAUAUGCUGUGAGCUCGAUGAGUAGGGCGGGACACGUGGUAUCCUGUCUGAAUAUGGGGGGACCAUCCUCCAAGGCUAAAUACUCCUGACUGACCGAUAGUGAACCAGUACCGUGAGGGAAAGGCGAAAAGAACCCCGGCGAGGGGAGUGAAAAAGAACCUGAAACCGUGUACGUACAAGCAGUGGGAGCCCCACCACUAAGCCAGUGGUGAACUCCACAUACGCAUCCUUUGCUGAGGAUACGGUUAACGGAGCGCAAGCGACGUUCAACCGCAAAAGAAGCAGAGGGGGCUUAGUGGUGGGGUGACUGCGUACCUUUUGUAUAAUGGGUCAGCGACUUAUAUUCUGUAGCAAGGUUAACCGUAUAGGGGAGCCGGAGGGAAACCGAGUCUUAAC
rnacentral:rRNA from 1 species